AAAGUAGCUGUGAGCAUUUAUAAAGGGAAGGAAUGGGAAGCCUUGUGCUGUGGAGGGGAGGUUCUUUGGUGGUGACUGCAAUAAAGCGUUUGGAGGCCCCUGCUGACAUUCAAGUCUUCAUCUAUCUCUACCUUAUGCUUCUGGAAGCCCAUAAAACAUGGCCUGAUCUAAAGACUGGUGAGUAGGAGAUCUUCAGAUUGUGCUUAUUCUCAUCCGACUCAGUCUGGGGGCUUGUCUGGGAUCCUGGAAUGCAGAAACUUCUCCUGAAUUUCUGCAAGAAACUUGGAACAGAGGGACCAAAUUUCCUGAGAAGACCGAUCCCUGAUAAAGAUGAUUGGUGAAGAUGAAGUGUGUUAGCUAUAUCUAAUUAAUGUUAUUGUUAUUGUAGAGAGAGAAACUGAGGCAAGUGAAAAUAAUUAUUUGCCAGUCACUUGCCAUGCAUUUGCUAUCAUCAGUUAGAUCAUCUCUGUGCAUCCAAAGUAGGGGAUGUGCCUUCUAAGAAGAUAAAAUUAAGCCAUCUUUUACUUCAACCCCCAGCUCCAGAGUAUUAUCAAUGGGAAGGGGUCCAUUUUCCAAAACCCCCAUUUCAUUCAGGGGGAUGAAAAGCUCAUAGGAGGUACAUAAUUCUUUUGUAUUAGUAAAAUUAGCUCACUACUCUCAAAGUUUGGUAUGUCACAGCACCCCAACCUAAGGAGGCCUCUCUCUCAUCCCAUUUAUUGACAGUGGGAGAUUUUUGAGCUGUGCUUCAUCUCAUCCCACUCAAUCCUAGCCUGAUUGAUUCAGGGCACUGUAAGUUACAGUAAAAGUGUUACUUGAAUGUUCUUAAGGAAGCAAGGAGAUUGUUUAUUGCCCUUGAACCUUUUGUCUUUCAUCAAUCUCUUUCCCACAGUCCUGGAGUCUUUUAGAUAAAGAGUCAACAAAAGGUCUUUGAAAUUUAAAAACAGAUUAGUCAUCCCUUUCUCAAUUGGGGGUGCUAACCAGUGCUUUUUCCCUUGAGGAAGUCUUGUUUCCAAGAGAAAUUUUACAACUUAAGUGACUCCCUUAUCUCCUUUGGUACCAAAAAUGUCAAGAGAUGUUCUCAUUCUGUUGUAUAUGUAUACAUUUUGUUACACCUCUGACCCAAUAGACUGUUUCUUAAAAUUUUAAUUUGGGAGUUCGGAUUGACAGGAAUCAUGACAUGAACAAAAAGAUGGAAAGAAAGAGAUAAGAGGGGAGGUUUGUGACUGAAUUUUAUAAAUUGGUGGACUUAAAUCUGAUACUUUAGCAUUCUUUGAGCACCCAAGAAGGGGAAUGCCUCUUUCUAUUAAAAUCAAUAAAGCCAUCAUUUUUGCAUCUUUCUCUCUGGCUCC